CAUUUUUCCCCUCAUGCUGUUUGCUCUUUGCAGCUUGCUUUAGUGUUCAUGUUCGAGGAUCCGAAUACGUUUCUUUGCUUGGUGCAAAUGAGGUUGAUUACUCUUUCAUGGGAUUACCAGACUUGGAUUCCUGAGAACUCGCAGCUGCUGUGGCAUAUAUUGAAGACAUUUUUUUUUCAGUGGGUUUAUUGGAUUGCUUAUUUUUCUUUUAUGGACAAGUUAUGAUUUGUGGGUUCCAUCUUCUUGUUCGCUUCUUCUUUGUUAUGUUGCCUAUAAUUAAGUAUGUUUAUGAAGUUUUGAGGAUAUUAAUGGAUUGGAUUACUUUUUUGGGCUA